UUUUAUGGUGGAAAGGGUCUAUAUGCCAUGUUUUGUAUCUGAUCUACAAUGCCUCCUCUCCAACAGGGCAGGGUCUUCCUCGGUGGUAGUGAAGAUGAGACUUACUUUUCACACACGAAUGUUGAAUCCUAUUGUGGUGAAAUUCCUAUUCAUCGACCAAGUGACUGAACACCCACCCAAAGAUCUGCAGAUUAACCUUGAGUAUACAAGAUAUGUGCAGACGCCUGUAGCUGCCACUGUCUGCACCACACCCAGGGAAGAUCUACCUCUGCAAAGACCAGCUCCUGAAUAACUGUCCAGCAGGCAGCGGGCCAACAACAACCACCACAGCA